rnacentral:rRNA from 1 species
AUUCUGGUUGAUCCUGCCAGUGGUAUAUGCUUGUCUCAAAGACUAAGCCAUGCAAGUGCCUGUAUGAGUGCCUUAGUAAAACGAAACUGCGAAUGGCUCGGUAAAACAGCUAUAAUUUAAUCGGGGAUAAUCCCACCGGAUAACCGUGGGAAAGAUAGAGCUAAUACGUACAUUCAAAGCGAGAAAUCAUACUCGUGGUACUAUUUAGAGGUACAACCCAGUUUUACUGGUGAUUCAUACUUAUUUUCUGAUCGCACUUUGUGCGACACCCCGAUUAGAUUUCUGACCUAUCAGCUUGAUGGUAAGGUAGCGGCUUACCAUGGCCAUGACGGGUGACGGACCGUGGGUGCGGGAUUCCGGAGAGGGAGCCUGAGAAACGGCUACCACAUCCAAGGAAGGCAGCAGGCGCGCAAAUUACCCAAUCCAAACAUUGGGAGGUAGUGACAAGGAAUACUAAUAGGGGGACCUAUGGUCUCCCUAAUUGGAAUGGAUGCAAUCUAAACAUCUGUUUGAGAAUCCAGCAGAGGGCAAGUCUGGUGCCAGCAGCCGCGGUAAUUCCAGCUCUGUAAGCGUAUACUAAAGUUGUUGCAGUUAAAACGCUCGUAGUCGGAUUUUGGUGUGUGUUACCGAUGCUCCGUAAGGAUGCUGAUGUAUCCACGCCUUUGUGGAGGGGGGUGUGACGGUGCUUUAUUGUAUUGUUGCAUUUCCGCCACUUUUUACUGUGAAAAAAUUAGAGUGUUCAAAGCAAGCGUUUGCCUGAAUACAUUAGCAUGGAAUAAUAGAAUAGGACUUGGUUCUGUUUUAUUGGUUUGUCAGAAUCAGGUAAUGAUUAAAAGGGACGGUUCGGGGGCAUUUGUAUUCCAGCGCGAGAGGUGAAAUUCUAGGACCGUUGGAAGACAAACAGCUGCGAAAGCGUCUGCCAAGGACGUUUUCAUUGAUCAUGAACGAAAGUAAGGGGAUCGAAGACGAUCAGAUACCGUCGUAGUCUUUACUAUAAACGAUGAGGACUGGGGAUCGGAUGUGGCUUAAUUUAUUAAUGGUACGUUCGGCACCCUCAGGGAAACCAAAGUGUUUGCUUUCUGGGGGGAGUAUGGUCGCAAGUCUGAAACUUAAAGGAAUUGACGGAAGGGCAUCACAGGGUGUGGAGCCUGCGGCUUAAUUUGACUCAACACGGGAAAACUUACCAGGGCAGGACAUAGUAAUGAUUGACAGAUUGAGAGCUCUUUCUUGAUUCUAUGGUUGGUGGUGCAUGGCCGUUCUUAGUUGGUGGAGUGAUCUGUCUGGUUAAUUCCGUUAACGAGCGAGACCUGGGCGUACUAUUUAGGGUGUGUUAUCCUUGUGAUAGCGUUGCUCUUCUUAGACGGACUAUAGACUUUUAGUCUAUGGAAGCUCCAGGCAAUAACAGGUCUGAGAUGCCCUUAGAUGUCCUGGGCCGCACGCGUGCUACACUGAAUGGUUCAACGGGUGAGGGAGUGCGAAAGCAUCAACCCAAUCUCUAAAUCCAUUCGUGAUGGGGAUAGAAGCUUGCAACUAUCCUUCUUGAACGAGGAAUACCUUGUAAGCACGAGUCAUCAUCUCGUGCUGAAUACGUCCCUGCCCUUUGUACACACCGCCCGUCGCUCCUACCGAUUGAGUGGUCCGGUGAGGCUUUGGGAGAGUUGAGUGGGUUGUGUUUCACAAACUGUUUGGCUUGAACUUGGUCAAACCUUAUCACUUAGAGGAAGGAGAAGUCGUAACAAGGUUUCCGUAGGUGAACCUGCGGAAGGAUCAUUCA